GUGUUUAGGAAGUUUCAAACAAACCUGGAAACAUCAGUUAAAGUCUCGACCAUCUUCCGGGGGACAUGCUCCACAAAGCCUUGGGUGGGUGGCAGCUCGUGGACCUAAAUCCCAUGAAAACAUAUUGUUGUGGAUACUGACGGAAGUUUGCCGGCUCUGGUUUCGCCUUCUCUGGCUCUUGUCCCUCGUGUUUUCAGCGGCAUCGCUGCUGCGCUUCAACCGCGACUCCAUUGUUUGAGUUUUCAAGGCGGCAGUGAUGACAGGUGACGACAGGUGAUGACAGGUGACGACAGGUGAUGACAGGUGAUGACAGGUGACGUGUGCCAGGUUGGGUCAAACCAUCCUGGUAUGGGGGAGACUCUGGGUUUUUAGGAUAAUGAAAUUGAAUAGCCUGCUGAAUAUAAAAUUCAGUUCAUGAACUUACACUUAUAUUUUAUUGAAUAUUUAUUAAAUAACAAUUUUUAAAGGAUUUUUGAAUGGAUGCUAAUUUUAAAUGUAUUUU